AUCAUAAGUCAAAAAAUGCAUUUAAUGCACCUAAUGUACCAAACAUCAUGGCCCAGCCUAGCCUACCUUAAAUGUGUUCAGAGCACUUACAUUUGCCUCCAGUUGGGCAAAAUCAUCUGACACAAAGCCUGUCUUAGGAUAAAUGGUUAAGUAUCUCAUGUAUUUUACUGUACUGAAAGUGAAAAACAAUAGUUGUGUGGAUACAGAAUGGUUGUAAGUGUGCAGGUUGUUUACUCUCAUGAUUGCUGGCUGGCUGUCAGCUAUGGCAGCGUCACGAGCGAGGAUUGUCCCAUACAUAGACAGCCUGGAAAAAAUCAAGUUCAAAAUUCAAAGCGCAUUCUCUAAAGAACACAUCACUUUCACACCAUCCUUGAGUCAAACCAUCAUCAGUUGGAACUAAGUACAUAAAACUUACUAAACAAACUUAAAAAUCAUUUGUUGUUCAUCCAAAUUUGAAAUUGGACUAGGAGUCCUGUAUUUUAUCUUAACGACCCUACUUCAUCCUCUUCUUGUUCUCUGACCUGUGCUGGGAACACUAGCAUAUAACCCUAAACCUAUUUCUUUCUCUGUAAGCUUUUUUGGAAAGGGCAUCUAUCACAUCAGUGGUUCUCAAAGUAUGGUACUGGACUAGCACCUGGAAAACAGACAGCAAAUACACAUUCUCAGCUUUUGACCCAGUCAUACAGAAUCAGGUCUUUUGGGGGUGGGGCCCAGUGCUCUUUGUGUUUUAAGAGGACCUUCAGUUGUUUUUUUUUUUUUUUGGUUGUUGUUGUUCGUUUGUUUGUUUUUUAGGGCUGCACCUGUGGCAUAUGGAGGUUCCCAGGCGAGGGGUGGAAUCAGAGCACAGCCGCCGGCCUACAUCACAGCUCACAGCAAUGCCAGAUCCUUAACCCACUGAGUGAGGCCAGGGAUUGAACCUGCAACCUCAUGGUUCCCAGUCGGAUUCGUUUCCGCUGUGCCAUGACGGGAACUCCAGGAUCCUGUAUUUUCAUUUGUUAAGUUUGGCAACUGUUCCACAGGGUUUUUGUAAAAGCCUUAUUAGCUCUAUUAACCCUGUUUUAGAGAUGAAGGAAUUGAGGCACAAAGAGAUGAAGCAACCUACUCAUGGUCACAUAGCCUGGUUUGAAUCUAGGCUGUAGGAUCCCUGAAACCUGCCCAUAAUCACUAGACAUAUCCUGUGCCUGCUGUCUGUGAAUAACCCAGCAUGUGGUGCUGUGCCACCACGGGAACUCCCCUUCAGUGAGGAUUUAAAUUGGGAGAACCACUGGUUUAAACAAUCACUUCUAAGAUGUUGCCUCCCAGAUCUUUAUCAUUAACCCUGAUUUCAUACCCACACUUCCCUCUAGCAUUUCAAACUGGGAAUAUCCUGUGGAAUGUUACAAUAUGGGGGGUGGGGGUGGGAAUAGCCCUAUAGGAGUUCCUGCUAUGGCUCAAUGGGCUCAGUGGCAUUUCUGGAGUGCUGGGUUGCAAGUUCAAUCCCUGGCCUGGCACGGUGGCUCAGGGAUCCAGUGUUGUGCGCAGAUCCGAUGCCUGGGCUGGGAAUUCCAUAUGCCACAGGAAAAAAAAAA
rnacentral:lncRNA from 1 species